AUAGCGUAUAUUAAAGUUGUUGCAGUUAAAAAGCCCGUAGUUGAACUUCAGGCCUGGCCGGGCGGUCCGCCUCACGGUGUGUACUGUCUGGCUGGGUCUUACCUCUUGGUGAGCCGGCAUGCCCUUUACUGGGUGUGUCGGGGAACCAGGACUUUUACCUUGAGAAAAUUAGAGUGUUCAAAGCAGGCCUACGCCCGAAUACAUUAGCAUGGAAUAAUAGAAUAGGACGUGCGGUUCUAUUUUGUUGGUUUCUAGAGUCGCCGUAAUGAUUAAUAGGGAUAGUUGGGGGCAUUUGUAUUGCGUUGCUAGAGGUGAAAUUCUUGGAUUUACGCAAGACAAACUACUG
rnacentral:rRNA from 1 species